rnacentral:rRNA from 1 species
CCUACGGGAGGCUGCAGUGAGGAAUAUUGGUCAAUGGGCGUGAGCCUGAACCAGCCAAGUAGCGUGAAGGAUGACGGCUCUAUGGAUCGUAAACCUCUUUUAUAAGGGAAUAAAGUUCGGGACGUGUCCCGUUUUGUAUGUACCUUAUGAAUAAGGAUCGGCUAACUCCGUGCCAGCAGCCGCGGUAAUACGGAGGAUCCGAGCGUUAUCCGGAUUUAUUGGGUUUAAAGGGUGCGUAGGCGGCCUCUUAAGUCAGCUGUGAAAGUCUGUGGCUCAACCGUAAAAUUGCAGUUGAUACUGGGAGUCUUGAGUAUGGUUGAGGUAGGCGGAAUGCGUGGUGUAGCGGUGAAAUGCUUAGAUAUCACGCAGAACCCCGAUUGCGAAGGCAGCCUACCAAGCUAUGACUGACGCUGAUGCUCGAAAGCGUGGGGAUCAAACAGGAUUAGAUACCCGAGUAGUC